UUAAAGAUAUUAGAAGUUUAAUAAGUUUGUUUUAGGAACAAAAAUUGGGGGUUUCCCCUCUUUAAU
rnacentral:tRNA from 1 species